rnacentral:rRNA from 1 species
GUCUAUGGCCUUGCCACCCUGAAUAAGCCUGAUCCCAUCUGAUCUCGGAAGUUAAGCAGGGUCGGGCCUGGUUAGUACUUGGAUGGGAGACCACCUAAGAAGACCAGGUGCUGAGGGGU